GUGGGAAUGGGAUGGGAAUGGGAUCGGGGAAUCAGGGAACUCCAGCUUCCGGUUACACACCAGGAUGGCUGCGGGAAUGGGAUCGGGAAUGGUGGGAAUGGGAUCGGGAAUGGUGGGAACGGGAUCGGGAAUGGUGGGAAUGGAAUUGGGAAUGGAGGAAAUGGGAUUGGGAAUGGUGGGGAUGGUGGGAACGAGAUCAGCGAAUGGUGGGAAUGGUGGGAAUGGGAUCAGGGAAUCAGGGAAUGGGAUCGGGAAUAGGAUUGGGAACGGGAUCAGGGAAUCAGGGAACCGGGAAUGAGGGAAUCAGGGAACGGCGAGAACCGGGAACGAGGCAACGGCGGGAAGCAGGGGAUCACGGGAAUAACGGGAAUUACGGGAAUGAGGGAAUUACAGGAAUCACAGGAAUGGGAAUAGCGGGAAUUGGAACGGGAAUGGGAUUGGGAACAGGAAUGGGAUUGGGAACGGGAAUGGGAUUGGGAAUGGGAAAGGGGCCGGGAAUUCUCGCCGAGCUCACUGUGCUUGGCCAGCAGGGCCACGUGGGACAUGUCGGCCGACCAGAUCACGUACUUCACCUUGGAGAUCUUCACCGAGGCCAAAGUCCUGGGAAAAGCCCGGAUCCGCCAUUGGGAAACGGCCCCGGGAUCGCCGGGAUCCCAGAAACAUCCAGGGGAUCCCAAAAACCCCAGGGGAUCCCAAAAACCCCCAGGGGAUCCCAAAAUCCAGCCCUGGGAUCCCANNNNNNNNNNAUCCCAAAAACCCCCAGGGGAUCCCAAAAUCCAGCCCUGGGAUCCCAGAAACACCCAGGGAAUCCCAAAAACCCCCAGGGGAUCCCAAAAUCCAGCCCCGGGAUCGCCGGGAUCCCAGAAACACCCAGGGAAUCCCAAAAACCCCCAGGG
rnacentral:lncRNA from 1 species